ACACGUACUGCGUCGAGAAUUGGUAACUCUACCACCGUUGGCGAAUUGUGACUGUCAAUGGGGUAAGAGUUUCCGUCCCUCGGCGUUUAAAAUAUUUAUAUGUGGUGGUUAU
rnacentral:pre_miRNA from 1 species